rnacentral:rRNA from 1 species
UACGUAGGGCGCAAGCGUUGUCCGGAAUUAUUGGGCGUAAAGAGCUCGUAGGCGGCUUGUCACGUCGGGUGUGAAAGCCCGGGGCUUAACCCCGGGUCUGCAUUCGAUACGGGCAGGCUAGAGUGUGGUAGGGGAGAUCGAAUUCCUGGUGUAGCGGUGAAAUGCGCAGAUAUCAGGAGGAACACCGGUGGCGAAGGCGGAUCUCUGGGCCAUUACUGACGCUGAGGAGCGAAAGCGUGGGGGAGCGAACAGG